AGGCUGUAUGUGAUGCAGAUUUGAGACUGAUGAAUGUAGUAGCUCGUUGGCCUGGUUCUGCACAUGAUGCUACUAUCUUUAACAAUUCUGUUUUGAGAGGCAAGUGACAAA
rnacentral:pre_miRNA from 1 species